AGAGUUUGAUCCUGGCUCAGGACAAACGCUGGCGGCGUGCCUAACACAUGCAAGUCGCACGUCCUUCGCUUUUCGGAGCGGAGGAAGUGGCGGACGGGUGAGUAACACGUGGAUACCUACCUUCAAGUGAGGAAUACCGGCGAGAAAUCGCCGACAAUACCGCAUACGCUUCUCUUGCAAAAGAGAAGCAAAGCCGCGAGGCGCUGGAGGAUGGGUCUGCGUCCGAUUAGCUAGCUGGUGGGGUAAAGGCUCACCAGGGCGACGAUCGGUCGCUGGUCUGAGAGGAUGAUCAGCCACACUGGGAUUGAGAACGGCCCAGACUCCUACGGGGGGCAGCAGUGAGGAAUCUUCGGCAAUGGGGGCAACCCUGACCGAGCAACGCCGCGUGCAGGAAGAAGGUUUUCGGAUCGUAAACUGCUUUUCUCAAGGACGAGCAAGGACGGUACUUGAGGAAGAAGCCCCGGCUAACUACGUGCCAGCAGCCGCGGUAAUACGUAGGGGGCGAGCGUUGUCCGGAGUUACUGGGCGUAAAGCGCACGUAGGCGGUCCUGUGCGUUCGCGGUGACAGCUCCCGGCUUCACUGGGAGAGAGCUGCGAAGACGGCAGGACUUGAGGACUCAAGAGGGAACGGGAACUCCUGGUGGAGCGGUGAAAUGCGUAGAGAUCAGGAAGAACACCAAAGGCGAAGGCACGUUCCUGGGGAGUUACUGACGCUGAGGUGCGAGAGCUAGGGGAGCAAACGGGAUUAGAUACCCCGGUAGUCC
rnacentral:rRNA from 1 species